AGUGAAAUGCCUGAAAAGGAAUACUUUGAUAAGGUAAAAAUGCAAAAUUUUUUUGCUUUCACUA
rnacentral:tRNA from 1 species